rnacentral:rRNA from 1 species
GAUGAACGCUGGCGGCGUGCCUAAUACAUGCAAGUCGAGCGAACGGACGAGAAGCUUGCUUCUCUGAUGUUAGCGGCGGACGGGUGAGUAACACGUGGAUAACCUACCUAUAAGACUGGGAUAACUUCGGGAAACCGGAGCUAAUACCGGAUAAUAUUUUGAACCGCAUGGUUCAAAAGUGAAAGACGGUCUUGCUGUCACUUAUAGAUGGAUCCGCGCUGCAUUAGCUAGUUGGUAAGGUAACGGCUUACCAAGGCAACGAUGCAUAGCCGACCUGAGAGGGGGGUCCGCCAAACCGGAACUGAAGCAACGUUCCAGCCUCCUAGGGAGGGAGGCGGUGGGGAUCCUCCGGCAAUGGGGGAAGCCUUGCCGAGGAACCGCGGGUGGGUUGUGAAGGGCUUCGGAUCGUAAAACCCUUGUAAUAGGGAAAAAAAUAUGUUGAAGGUACUGGUGAACUCCUGACGGUACCUAAUCAGAAAGCCACGGCUAACUACGUG